rnacentral:rRNA from 1 species
UACGGAGGGGGCUAGCGUUGUUCGGAAUUACUGGGCGUAAAGCGCACGUAGGCGGUUCGUUAUGUCGGAUGUGAAAGCCCUUGGCUUAACCGAGGAAGUGCAUCCGAAACUGGCGAGCUAGAGUACUAAAGAGGAUCGCGGAAUUCCCGGUGUAGAGGUGAAAUUCGUAGAUAUUAGGAAGAACACCAGUGGCGAAGGCGGCUCACUGGCCCGGUACUGACGCUGAGGCGCGAAAGCGUGGGGAGCAAACAGG